CGUGAUUUUAGGGCUAUUUUUUUGGAGUUGGUAACCCUGAAUGUUGGUGAAGACUUGAAUGUAAAUAGAAUUAAAAUAUUAAAAUCUUGACGAUCGUGAUGAUAAUUAAUUAUUGAAUACGAUACGAAUAGCAACUAGCACACGCAUAAUAUACUGUAAAACAAAUAAGUCGAAAAAAUAAAAUGCAGAGGGUAUUAUCUAUAUUGAAAACUGUUUCCACGGUGAAUUUUGCGACGAGAACAUUUAGUGUUCUACCUUCACUAGGAAAUGCAUUAGAAUCUGUGAAGAAGGAAGGGAUAUUGAAAUCA